AUAGAUGGUUUUUGCUAGCGGUUC
rnacentral:siRNA from 1 species